GACGAACGCUGGCGGCGUGCUUAACACAUGCAAGUCGAACGGAAAGGCCCUGCUUGCAGGGUACUCGAGUGGCGAACGGGUGAGUAACACGUGGGUGAUCUGCCCUGCACUUCGGGAUAAGCCUGGGAAACUGGGUCUAAUCCCGGAUAGGAGCCAUUUUUAGUGUGAUGGUUGGAAAGUUUUUUCGGUGUAGGAUGAGCUCGCGGCCUAUCAGCUUGUUGGUGGGGUAAUGGCCUACCAAGGCGGCGACGGGUAGCCGGCCUGAGAGGGUGGGCGGCCACAUUGAGACUGAGGGACGGCCCAGGCGCCGACUGUUGGCAGAAGUGGGGAAUAUUGCACAAGGGGCGCCAGCCGGAUGCAGCGGCGCCGCGUGGGGGAUGACGGCCUUCGGGUUGUAGACUCCUUUCGCUAGGGACGAAGCUUUUUGUGACGGUACCUAGAGAAGAAGCACCGGCUAACUACGUG
rnacentral:rRNA from 1 species